UACGUAGGGUGCAAGCGUUGUCCGGAAUUAUUGGGCGUAAAGAGCUCGUAGGCGGUUUGUCGCGUCUGCUGUGAAAACUCAGGGCUUAACUCUGAGCUUGCAGUAGGUACGGGCAGACUAGAGUGCGGUAGGGGAGACUGGAAUUCCUGGUGUAGCGGUGAAAUGCGCAGAUAUCAGGAGGAACACCGGUGGCGAAGGCGGGUCUCUGGGCCGGUACUGACGCUGGAGGUGACGAAAGCCGUGGGGAGCAAACAGG
rnacentral:rRNA from 1 species